UCCAGACUCCUACGGGAGGCAGCAGUGGGGGAUAUUGCACAAUGGGGGAAACCCUGAUGCAGCGACGCCGCGUGAGUGAAGAAGUAUUUCGGUAUGUAAAGCUCUAUCAGCAGGGAAGAAAAAAGACGGUACCUGACUAAGAAGCCCCGGCUAACUACGUGCCAGCAGCCGCGGUAAUACGUAGGGGGCAAGCGUUAUCCGGAUUUACUGGGUGUAAAGGGAGCGUAGACGGCAAUACAAGUCGGAAGUGAAAUACCCGGGCUCAACCUGGGAACUGCUUUGGAAACUGUAUGGCUGGAGUGCUGGAGAGGUAAGCGGAAUUCCUAGUGUAGCGGUGAAAUGCGUAGAUAUUAGGAGGAACACCAGUGGCGAAGGCGGCUUACUGGACUGUAACUGACGUUGAGGCUCGAAAGCGUGGGGAGCAAACAGGAUUAGAUACCCGAGUA
rnacentral:rRNA from 1 species